rnacentral:rRNA from 1 species
UUAGAGUUUGAUCCUGGCUCAGGACGAACGCUGGCGGCGCGCCUAACACAUGCAAGUCGAACGAGCGAGAGAGAGCUUGCUUUCUCAAGCGAGUGGCGAACGGGUGAGUAACGCGUGAGGAACCUGCCUCAAAGAGGGGGACAACAGUUGGAAACGACUGCUAAUACCGCAUAAGCCCACAGCUCGGCAUCGAGCAGAGGGAAAAGGAGCAAUCCGCUUUGAGAUGGCCUCGCGUCCGAUUAGCUAGUUGGUGAGGUAACGGCCCACCAAGGCGACGAUCGGUAGCCGGACUGAGAGGUUGAACGGCCACAUUGGGACUGAGACACGGCCCAGACUCCUACGGGAGGCAGCCGUGGGGAAUAUUGCACAAUGGGGGAAACCCUGAUGCAGCGACGCCGCGUGGAGGAAGAAGGUCUUCGGAUUGUAAACUCCUGUUGUUGAGGAAGAUAAUGACGGUACUCAACAAGGAAGUGACGGCUAACUACGUGCCAGCAGCCGCGGUAAAACGUAGGUCACAAGCGUUGUCCGGAAUUACUGGGUGUAAAGGGAGCGCAGGCGGGAAGACAAGUUGGAAGUGAAAUCUAUGGGCUCAACCCAUAAACUGCUUUCCAAACUGUUUUUCUUGAGUAGUGCACAGGUAUGCGGAAUUCCGGUGUAGCGGUGGAAUGCGUAGAUAUCGGGAGGUACACCAGUGGCGAAGGCGGCCUACUGGGCACCAACUGACGCUGAGGCUCGAAAGUGUGGGUAGCAACAGGAUGAGAUACCCUGGUAGUCCACACCGUAAACGAUGAUUACUAGGUGUUGGAGGAUUGACCCCUUCAGUGCCGCAGUUAACACAAUAAGUAAUCCACCUGGGGAGUACGACCGCAAGGUUGAAACUCAAAGGAAUUGACGGGGGCCCGCACAAGCAGUGGAGUAUGUGGUUUAAUUCGACGCAACGCGAAGAACCUUACCAAGUCUUGACAUCCCUUGACGAACAUAGAAAUAUGUUUUCUCUUCGGAGCAAGGAGACAGGUGGUGCAUGGUUGUCGUCAGCUCGUGUCGUGAGAUGUUGGGUUAAGUCCCGCAACGAGCGCAACCCUUACUGUCAGUUACUACGCAAGAGGACUCUGGCAGGACUGCCGUUGACAAAACGGAGGAAGGUGGGGAUGACGUCAAAUCAUCAUGCCCUUUAUGACUUGGGCUACACACGUACUACAAUGGCGUUAAACAAAGAGAAGCAAGACCGCGAGGUGGAGCAAAACUCAGAAACAGCGUCCCACCUCGCACUGCAGGCUGCAACUCGCCUGCACGAAGUCGGAAUUGCUAGUAAUCGUGGAUCAGCAUGCCACGGUGAAUAGUUCCCGGCCCUUGUACACACCGCCCGUC